GACCCGAUUGCACAUGGUGUGCAUCUACUUUCAUUAGCUGGUGAUCACUCGGAAUUAAUCAGAAGGACCUGGUUCGAAUCCAGGCCGGGUCA